GGUUGGAUGGCCGAGUGGUUAAGGCGCUAGUUUCAGGUUUUAGCUCACCUUACUAGUCUGAAAGGGCGUGGGUUCGAAUCCCACUCCAAUCA